AGAAAAUUGAGGUUCUGAACAACUUGAAGAACCUUUAAUUUUUUUAAACAAUAAACAUGGAGAGGCUGAAAAGAAGUUUAGCCAGUUUUAUAUUGAUUUAUAUUUAUAUGGCAAUAUUUAUAUAGUGAUUUUUAAUCAUUAAUGCCAUUUGACUGCUGUACAUAUUUUUUAUUUUUCUCUCAUCAUAAAAUAAAUGAAUAAACAGUUUUUAUAUAUUUAUUUUAAGGUGUGUAUGUAUAUUCUUGACCCCUGAAAACAACAAAAACAGUUUGUGUUAGUACAAGUAGUUUGUGUUGGUCCUGAUGGAAGUAACAGCUGCUGAAACUGCCACGUUCCUCCAGUGGACUUCUGAAGAAGGAAGAAAAGAAUAAGGAGGAUCUUGUGGAAUGAUUUGAUAGACACUGAGGUGAGAAGAAAGAGGAUAGAGACAAUUACGAGUAAUACACAGAACCUUUCAAAAAGUAAUUUUGUCAACUGUUGUAAUGAUCAACUAUUAUUGUUGUUCCAAACAUUACUUAAAUUACUCUGAAAACAUUUUUGGCCUGCAUGGAAGAAAAUUAGCUAAA
ensembl:lncRNA